UUUCAAAGAAUGAAGUUCCAUAACUUCUCAAUGUCAUAUCAGAAAUUUAUAAUAAAUUGCAUCGCCGAGCGCAGCUGGAUACGACCGCAGAGGUCCAACCCUGAACAGUUGGGGCAAAAAUGGAUGCAAUAUUCCCACUUGAUACAAGUUUGAAUUUGGAUUGUAAUUAAAUAUUUGACACAUAAAAGGUUUCUGACACAGAAUAACUGUAGUCAAAGAACUUAGAAUUGGUUAUAUGAUUUGAAUUUAUAUUCAAUUUUUUGCUUUUGUGCAAUACACUUUGCUGUUGCAAAUUGACCACC